rnacentral:tRNA from 1 species
GGUGGCUCAGCAGUAGAGCUCUUGCCUUGCAUGCAUGAGGCCCUGGGUUCAAUUCCUCAGCACCA